rnacentral:lncRNA from 1 species
ACGAACAUUCUUUGAUGUUGCGAUCAUGAUAGCGGCGGAUCCCUUCAAGGUACCUUACAGACUGGACGAGUGCUGCACAGCGAGCUUCUUCAAGGUUGUCUAAGUCUAGACGCCUUUUUUCUUCUGCCGCACUGAAGCGUCCCGACAAAAGUAGAGACUAAAUGUGAUGCAAAUAUCAGUCCCAGGAGGCUGAUAACACAUUUAUUCGACAGAUAAUUCAGUUACCGUACAUGUAACGACCGACCCCUAAGCCUUCCAGUUAGUCGUGAUCGCAGCCCUUAGCUUUAGUCAGCUGUCUCGCUUGACCGCACCUAAGUGCUCAGUUUUCUGCCGGUCCCGACCCCUGAGAUCCGACCCCUUCCCGCUUCGCUCCUCUCCCGACCCCGGCGAGCUCAGCCCACCGUCGGAUUCUGCUGAUCUUUCUCACCCGUCCGAUCUAUCCACCGGUGGACCCGCGAGAUCUUUUCCAGAUCCCCCGCGCCAGCCGCACUCGAGUUGCAUGGCCGCCUCAGAGUCUUCCUGCCGCGUGGCUCGUCUUCUCCGACGCCUGCUGCUCAGUUUUGUCUCUGGCAAGCAACCGAGUGGGUUCCCGUGCCCCCUUUCCCCAAUGGCAGCGGAAGCCCUCUGCACCCCUUUCUGCAGAGCCUCGUCUCCCGCGCCCAUCAUCACGCCACCAGAUCCCGGCCCCAGAGCCCGAUGUCGCCCAUCUUUUCCGUCCCUUCAGCCACAGUUGCGCCGCUCGGUCGCCGCUACACGACGAUUCCUCCACCGCCAACCCCGACCGCGGCCGCGACAGUUCCUUUCCCCCGCUCUGUCAGAAGCCGCCCGACAAUCUGUUGUUCCGCGCUCUCCCCCGCGCCCGCGUCCGCCUGUCUUCUCACCUGUGCGCCCUCGAUUCUAGCGCCGUUAAACCGGUCGCUUCUAUCACCUCUUCCGCACGACGACGCCCGCUUUCCGCCAAAUCUCAACCACCAGUCUACCCGCCCCUACGCCGCCCUGACGGUAGAACGCAAUGAUCGCUGGCGUCACCCCCAGAGUUCUACACCACCGCCCUCUUUGCUCAAUCGCCGCCCCGGCAGAGCACUCCAUUGCCUCUCCCCGGCCUUCGCGCCACUCCCCUUCUCUCUCUCCGCGCCGUUUCCUUUCCUCUGCUCCAGCAGCUAUAAAAGGAAUGCCCCCGUCGCCGGAGUUUCCCUCCGCUCUCGUUGCCUUCAGCCUUCUCUAGCUCCCUGCUCAAGCUCCUAGCGCCACCCACCCAGUUCUUGAGGAGUUCUUCUCUCAGUUCUCCCUCAGUUUUCUCCCAGUCACCCAGCAGCUUGCUCCUCCGUGCUGCGUAAAAGCUCUGUGGUGAUCCACCAGAAGCAGCGCCGCCGCCGGAGCAUUGCUAGUUUUAGCCCUUGCUCGAAGCUUUAGUCCCUCCGCCUAAGUCUGCUUCUUCCCGACCCCACGCUUUCCUUUCAGGAAGAAGGUGAGUUGCCGACCCCAGUCCGCCUCGCCCGACCCCUCCUAUCCGUCCGACCCCGGUUCCGUCUCGCCCGACCCUGUCUGUUCCGCCGACCCUUAUCCACCUCGCCCGAGGGCUUGGCUGUGAUCUUUUUCUUCAACUCGAGGGUGUAUGUGUAAAACUUGGGAACCCUUCAGCGCUUGCGUCUAAGGACUCCCCCAGUUAUCACAUCCUCUAGUUCAAGGAUCAGACCACUAGUUCCUUUCCUACCCUUACCUUUUGAUCAUCAUCAGCUCUCGAACCACCAUCACCUCCUACUCUUUGUCGCGAGUUUCUGGGCUCAGGCGAGCCAGUGUUGCUGUUGAAAUAACCGUCUAUGCUAACCCCUGCAUUGCAUUCGUGUAGAGCUGCACCUCGCCGACGGCUUCUACGAGCUUCACCCGGCGCCAGAAGAAGAAGCUGUAGCCGAGCUCCUGUCCUCCGAAGCCGAAGUCGCCCCCGAAGUCGAGCAGUUCCCGUCCUCCUUGCUUGAAGGCAAGCUCCGGUUGCAUGAAAGUCCUAUGUGUUUUACCAGACUUGCGCAUGCCUCUAUAACAUGCUUGUGCAUUUACGUAUAGGAGUUGUGUGAAACCCUAGAUGCAUGACUCAGUAACCCAUGAUCUGAGCACUAGCUGUUGGACCGAGUAGCUGCAUUGCUUAACUAGGAAAAACGGUAAAAGCCGAGUGAUUUCCUGUCACUCGCGAGUUAUAGGAGUUGCAUGUUUACUCUCCUGUUAUAACUAUAAGGACGAUGGACGGGGCAGGGUUUUGGGUAACUCUUUGGUGGUCGGAUGGUCGCCCCGUCUGUCUAUAAAAACUUGCUAAGGCCUGACAGUGGUGGUGUUCGUGAUCAAGUGUUUGAAAGUACUAGCCUCAUACUUAGUAUGGGAUGAGGAAGCCUAGUACCGGAUUGAACCUAGACGUGAGCGGUCGCCCCAUUGUUCUUGGAACGGAGUUUCCCCUGCUGGUUGUCGCACGUGGUGGCAAUGUGUGGUCACAGAACGGCAGAGGCCGGGUCUGUGGAACCUUGCACCAAAGGAAAUGGGCCCGACACGGGUUAGGGGAUUGAUGGGGAAGGCCGACACAGGAAGCGACCUCCGGGUGCGCGGAUGUCGUGAGGCUAGGUUCACCAUGCAUGGUUAAAGAACUCGAAUCGAUUCGUCUGCCUCUCACAGUUUGAGAUUGCUUGAUCGCUAUGUCACCCUGAGUAAAUAAGGAAUCUGAUGAUGGAAAUGUUUGUUGUUAUAUCCGCACAUCUUGCUUGGUUCUAUGAAUGCUUAGAAUAGGUGGCACAACCUAGACUGGUAAAUGAACCUAGAACCGGAGCUAAAACUUGAAAAUAGGGUUACUUAGUGCUUUUGGCAACCAAACCCCUCAGCCAAACAGCUUGCAUGUCUAGAAGGAGGAGUAGUCCUUACUCCUAUCGGUUAAGUCUUGUUGAGCUUAGUAGCUCAGCCUUGUUGUGGCUCCUGUUUUUCAGGUGAAGUUGCUGCGUCCGACCCCUCUCUGGUUGGUGCUUGGCCGUCCCAGCUCCCGCCAGGCUGGACGGUCGAGUGGGACCCCUCCUCGGACGGCGAGGAGAGGACUCAGUGAUGUCCUGGCUGGCCUCACCCGGACAUCCGACCCCGACGAAGUCUUCCGCUAGUGUUUCUCUGUUGUUUUCUUGAAAUCUUGUAAAACUCUGGUGUUGGAUUUUAUGGCCGAACUAAAUGGGUAAAACUUGUUCAACUCAGUGGACUUGUUGUAUUCUCUGUAACCACUCACCUUCGUGUGGGUUUGCUAGACUCGAUCCUGUUUAAGUGGUUAAAUCGGAUGAAAUCCGACGGCACUUCGUGUUAGCUCGGGUUAGGCCGGAGUGUCGCAUGUUAGGCAGCUUAACCCUGUUUAAUCAAGCUAAAUCGAGGUGGUUCCGCCACAGCUGGUAUCAGAGCCGUGUUUAGCAUUUCAGAGAACCCAAUGAGCCCUAAACACUUCUUUGAAAGGGAUAAAAGUUGCAAGAAACUUUUGAAAAUCUCGUAUUAUCGUUAAGGAUGACUUAGUGCGAGAGGCCCUAGGGGAUUUUGGGGUUGUUUUAGGUGACUAAUAAGUAUUUGGUUAUUUUGCUAACCCUUCCAGCACUUCGCCACGUCUAUCAUACGUGUGCCGAGUUCCGCAUCGCGAGUAUGCGAGGGUUGAUAGGGAGCUCCAUUCAAAGGACCCUAUCUUCGCAUUUGUUUUCGCCCACAUCUAUUACACGUGCACAGGUUCCGUAUGUGUUCCAUACGAAGGUUGGUACGGUUCGAUUCCAACGAACCUAUCAGCACGGUUGUUUCGCCACGUUUGUCAUACGUGUGCCGAUUCUGCAUCACGAGUAUGCGAAGGGUUAUACGGAUCCAUUCAAAGGGAGCCUAUUUCCACGGUUGAGUGCUGUCCAUGCAGCCUUAAACGCAUGGGUGCCGUUCCUAUAGUGAGCGGUAAUGUUUGGGAACGCUUUCGUGGGUGCUGGCACGAAAGGUUCGUGUGUGGUGUUUUCUGCAGGUUGCUAACCGCGUUCGUUAGGAGGCGUUACUAGAACCGACUAGUUAUUAUAGGGAGAGACGUAUUGUUGCCUUGUCACCGGCGCUGACCGCGUAAGACCCAAAGUUCGAGCAGUUGUUUUUUUUAGGAGUAAGGUAGGCCGUGCAUGCGUCAUAUCUCAAAGGUUGUACGGUCCCUUUUCUCAGCAGCAACCCUGUCCGAAAGAGUUCUUUUGAUCUAAGGAUUUCUAGUUUCUCUUAGUUGCUCUCGGUGAAACCCAUCUGCUUUUCUAUCCGACCCCUGACCCUUGGAGUUAUCUCACGUAGUUUCGGUUUUUCUUGGUUCCAGAUGGCUGUUCCCGGACAUGUUGUUUUUGGAGCGGACGGUACCUUCCAGUCAACGUGCCUGCAUUUCGAGGGGUUUCCCGCGAUUCUGUGGGAUACGCUGAAGUGGUUUGGGUAUCAGUCCCCGCCCUUGUAUGCCGGACGGUUAUAUAUGGAACAUGGCAUUCAGACGUGCCAGGUGCAAGCGUUGGUACCACCUCCCCUUGCACGGCCCGACUGGCCCUCUCUUGGCAUAAUAGCCUAUGGUCUCGCUCCGGAAGAUACAUGGGAGUCCGCCGCCCUUCAGUUGCUCACCCAGUUCUGUCAGCUGCAUCCCGUGGAGAUCACGCUAGACCCGAUCGGUGUCUUCCCCGUCAGGAACCGGCUGGACCCGGCCUGGCUUGACCGCGUCGGGAACAUCGAGGUGUUAGCCACCACCUGCGCCAUGGUUACCAUCUCUACCAACAUCCGGUGCAUGGCCGCCCUCUACCGGUUGAUAGAGCUUCAGGGAAGAGCCAUGACCCUCUUCGCCUGGACGGCUGCAGAUACCCACGGUUACCUCCAGGCAGCAAGAAGAGACAUGGUAGGCCAAACCUACCAGCUGAUCCAGCGUGGUAUCCAGAUCCACGAUAUGCAAGAUCGGAUCUCCGAGCUAGAAGGAGAAGUCGCCGACCUCGUGGACGGCAUGAUAGAGCUCUCGGAGGAAAAGAUGGAGGUGGAAAUGGAGUUGGCAGUUGCCAAUGCCCACCUGGAGGAGCACCAAGCCGAGCUCGAAGAUAUGCAUGCCCUCAACAUGCAGCUCGAAGCUCAGGAGGACCCUGAGGAAGACGAGGGAGCGUCCAGCAUGGAUAUAGAAGAAGAUGGCGCCCCUUCUCCGACUCAUAGUGUCCAUUGGUAGAUUAAGAGUUCUCAGGGAACCAUCUUUUUGUUGUACUCCUCGGCAGCCUAGAUUUUGGAAAAGUUGUAAUAGGUUAGCCUCGAGUUGAGUGCUCCUUGUGUUGAAACAUCGUGGUAUAUAAAGUUAACCCCGGUGCAUAGUUUUCUCCUCUUCGUAUGGUGUGAAUGCUAGGGUUGGGUAAGUUGUGCUGUAACCCUAUGCUGUUUUCGGGGAGCCUGUUCAGUUGGCCGACCCUAGUUUGCGAGCCAGAGUGCGCCGACCUUUGAGGCAGUUUCCGCCUCGUCCGACCCUUUUCAAGUACGGACCGUGUCCGACCCCUUGGUUUGAGUGGAUCAGAUCGUAGGAGUCUAAAUGUGGCAUGUGUUGCCUGAAGUGGAGUACCAGGUCAAGUAGAGGUUAUCUAUGCUGAGAAUGAGAGGAAUGUGCUUUCUCUAUGAGGACGUGUGAUGCACCAUUGGCAAGAGUCGCAUUGAGGGAUUUAAUUCAUACGUUCCAUUUGUUGGAGUACACCUAAGGUUAUGAAAUUAAUGGGGCGUUAACUCUUGCAAAUGGCGCACCGCACUAGGUCUGGAUCUGUGCCCAGUGGUAGUAAUCAGCGACAGGAUCUUCCCCCGCCCCCGCCCCCAUCGCCAUUGGAGGCAAUCCUAGCACCUCAAACUGAGCUGCUAAGACACCUGGUGCAAGGACAACAGCAACCGCCACAGGGUGGAAGAGCUCAGCAGCAACCGCAUAUCGCACGGUAUGAGGACUUCCUGGGGACGCAGCCCCCGCUGUUCCAAAAGACACAAGAACCGCUCGAUGCUGAUGCAUGGGUUCGUACGAUCGAAUCCAAGUUCGAGCUCCUCACCGCUCCAUGCCCCGAUCACAACAAGGCGCGGUUCGCAGCUCAGCAGCUGCGUGGCUCCGCACGGCUUUGGUGGGACCACUACCAUGCCAUGCUGCCGGCUGGCCACGUGGUCAGCUGGAACGAGUUCAAGACGGCGUUCAAGGCACAUCACAUUCCCGAAGGUCUCCUGGAGCGCAAGCUCAACGAGUUUCUGACCCUCACCCAAGGAACUCGGGAUGUGCUGCAUUACGCCCAAGCUUUCAAUGACCUAUGCCGUUAUGCUGGCUAUCAUGCGGACACAGACGAGAAGAAGCGGGACCGAUUCCGCCGAGGACUGAGCUUGGAGCUCAGGGAAAGGCUGAACCCCAUCAGGGUGGACACCUACAACGAGUUGGUCAACCUGGCCAUCUCUCAGGAGGACUGCAUGCAAGCUCUCAAGGCCGACCAGAAGAGGAAAGCCUCCGUGGCAUUUCCGAGUCCACCGACUCGAAGGUUCCGGAUGAUCCCUCCACAAGCCCCUGGCCGACCCCAGCAGUCAGGGAAAUGGAUCGCCCGACCCCCGCCGGCAACAACGCCUCGUUUUCCAGGCUUUCAACCGCAAGUGCCCCGGCCGACCCUGCCGACGCCACCUCGCCCGGCAGCCAGUAAUCGUUGUUUUACCUGCGGCAAUGAAGGACACUUCGCAAAGGACUGCCCCAGGAACAAGAAUCAACAGCAAGGUCAGAACCCCCUGGCAGCCAGAGGAAGAAGGCCCAAGGUGCAAGUCCGACAAGGCCAACUCAACUACACCAGCUUGACCGAGCUCCCCGAAGGUGCGCCAGUAAUGACGGGUACUUUCCUUGUUUUAAAUCAAGCUGUUGUUGUGUUGUUUGAUUCGGGAGCCUCUCAUAGCUUUAUCGGGAAUAAGGCAAGGGAAAGAUGUGGGCUAAGUGUCGGUCACACUAAGGAACCCUAUGUGAUCGCCACUCCUGGAGGAAGGAUAACGUCGGAUCAGGUCGUUAUUCUUGUACCUCUCCAGCUAGGCCCCACCCUCUUCAAGGAAAACCUUAUCAUCCUUGACCUAAAAGGCAUAGAUGUCAUCCUUGGUAUGGACUGGAUGGCCCGACAUCAUGUUGUUCUAGAUACAUCAGCCCGAUCUCUUUACAUCAGCUCACCCUCUCAUGGUAGUUCUACCGUACCCUUGACCCAUCCUGAGUCUUCGACUCCUUGUGCCUACCCUCUCUUGGGAGCCCGUCUAGAAGACCUCCCUGUUAUCUGUGAGUACCCUGAUGUGUUUCCAGAAGAUUUGCCGGGUAUGCCACCUGACAGAGAAGUGGAGUUUUCCAUAGAGUUGGUUCCUGGCACAGCCCCGAUAUCUAAGAGACCCUAUCGGAUGCCACCCGCUGAGUUAGCCGUGUUGAAGACCCAGUUGCAUGAUCUGUUGGAAAAGGGCUUCAUUCGACCCAGUACAUCAUCUUGGGGUUGCCCCGCCCUGUUUGUGAAGAAGAAGGAUGGCAGUCUACGCAUGUGUGUGGAUUACCGACCCCUCAAUGCUGUGACGGUCAAGAACAAGUACCCGUUGCCACGCAUUGAUGUCUUGUUCGAUCAGUUAGCCGGAGCAAAAGUGUUCUCCAAGAUCGAUCUUCAUUCUGGUUAUCACCAAAUAAAGAUUCAACCCUACGACAUACCCAAGACAGCUUUCUCUACCAGAUAUGGACUGUACGAGUACCUAGUCAUGUCCUUUGGACUCACCAAUGCACCUGCUUAUUUCAUGUACCUUAUGAACUCGGUGUUUAUGCCCGAGCUGGACAAGUUUGUAGUGGUGUUCAUUGAUGAUAUCCUAGUGUACUCGAAGAACGAGGAAGAGCACGCCGACCAUCUUCAUAUAGUUCUCCAACGGCUGAGAGAUCACCAGCUCUAUGCAAAGUUCUCCAAGUGUGAGUUUUGGUUAGAUAGUGUCAAGUUUCUGGGACACACUAUCUCUAAGGAUGGUAUCGCCGUGGAUCCCAGUAAGGUGCAAGAAGUCAUGGAAUGGAAGUCUCCUACCUCAGUACACCAGAUCAGGAGUUUCCUUGGAUUGGCAGGUUACUAUCGGCGUUUCAUACCGGAUUUCUCCAAGAUAGCUAAGCCGAUGACCGAGUUGCUGAAGAAGGAGGUCAAAUUUGUGUGGGACACCAAGUGUGAAGAGGCCUUCAAGACCCUGAAGCACUUGCUGACCACCGUCCCAGUUUUGGCUCAGCCCGACCCCUCUAGGUCGUAUGACGUAUACUGUGACGCCUCUGGCACUGGACUCGGAUGUGUUCUCAUGCAAGACACUCGAGUCAUUGCCUAUGCCUCACGUGCGUUACGACCUCAUGAGCUAAGCUACCCGACACAUGACCUUGAGUUAGCAGCAGUGAUACAUGCCUUGAAGAUAUGGAGGCACUACCUAAUGGGAGCUCAUUGCAACAUCUACACCGACCACAAGAGCCUCAAGUACAUUUUCACUCAAGCCGACCUCAACAUGCGUCAGAGAAGAUGGCUGGAAUUGAUAAAGGAUUAUGAGUUAGAAGUGCACUAUCAUCCUGGCAAGGCCAAUGUAGUAGCCGAUGCCCUCAGCCGCAAACCCCAUUGCAACUGCUUGUUGUCAACAGCCUUCACCAAAACCCUGUGUCACGAGAUGGGAAAACUAAGUUUGGAGAUUAUUCCUCAUGGAACCCUUGGUCACAUCAUCCUUGACUCAGUUUUGGAGGACCAAAUUCGGUCAGCACAAGUUAAGGAUGAAGAAAUAAAACGGAUCAUCAGUAAGAUCUCAGUAAAGGAUGAAGGAUAUAAGCAAUUCCGUCAGGACAAAACGGGAGGUGUGUAUUAUGGAAACCGACUAGUAGUGCCCGCCGACCCCGAGUUGAGGAGGCAAAUCCUAGAUGAAGCUCAUCUCUCCAAGUUCUCGAUCUAUCCUGGCAGCAAUAAGAUGUACCAUGAUCUCCGUCAAACCUUUUGGUGGAGUGGAAUGAAACCAGAGAUAGCUCGGUAUGUUUCAGAAUGUGACACCUGUCAACGUGUCAAGGCCAGUCAUUUGAAGGUAGCAGGAACCUUGCAGCCGCUACCUGUUCCCUCUUGGAAAUGGGAAGACAUCAGCAUGGACUUCAUAGUUGGAUUACCCCUUACAACACAACGAUAUUAUUCCAUCUGGGUUAUAGUGGACCGUCUGACCAAGACGGCACAUUUCCUUCCUGUUUGUACCACCUACACAGUCAAGCAAUAUGCAGAGUUGUACCUCGACCGUAUAGUUUCCCUACAUGGUGUACCCAAGACUAUCGUCUCUGAUCGAGGAGUUCAGUUUGUGGCACGCUUUUGGGAGCAACUACAAGCAUCUAUGGGCACCAAGCUCAUCCGAAGCUCAACAUAUCAUCCUCAAAUCGAUGGCCAAACCGAGAGAGUCAACCAGAUUCUUGAAGACAUGUUAAGAGCCUGUGUUAUCCACUAUGAUAAAAACUGGGACAAGUGUCUGCCUUUAGCAGAAUUCUCCUACAAUAAUAGCUAUCAGGCCAGUUUGAAGAUGGCACCGUUUGAGGCCCUGUAUGGCCAAAGAUGCAGGACACCCUUGAACUGGUCCCAACCAGGGGAAAGACAGGUCUAUGGCCCUGACUUAGUGGCAGAAGCCGAAGAGCAAGUGAAGGUAAUUCAAGCGAAUCUCAAGGCUGCCCAAUCUCGACAGAAGAGUUACUCCGACCAGCGGAGAAGACCCCUCCAGUUCGACCUUGGUGAUCAUGUGUACCUUCGAGUUUCCCCGACCAAAGGAGUGCAACGGUUUGGAAUAAAAGGCAAGUUAGCUCCCCGCUAUGUUGGCCCUUAUGAGAUUGUGGAGAUAUGUGGACCCGUUGCUUACCGGAUCCAACUCCCAGAGCAGCUAUCAGCCAUACAUGAUGUUUUUCAUGUGUCUCAACUGAAGAAAUGUGUCCGAGUUCCAGCAGAGAUCAUAGAGCAAGGACAGCUUCAGGUAGAGCCCGACCUGACCUACGCCGAGUACCCAGAUCGAGUUCUUGACCAAAAGGAAAGGCACACCCGACGCCAAGUGGUAAAGAUGUACAAGAUCCUCUGGAGAAACCACACUGAGGAUGAAGCAACAUGGGAAACGGACGAAUAUCUGAACAAGCGGUUCCCCGGUUUUCUGUCCCAUCAAGGAGGUAAGAACAGCACACCCCCUUUUUGAUCUUGAAUCUCGGGACGAGAUUCUUUUUAAGAGGGGUAGGCUGUAACGACCGACCCCUAAGCCUUCCAGUUAGUCGUGAUCGCAGCCCUUAGCUUUAGUUAGCUGUCUCGCUUGACCGCACCUAAGUGCUUAGUUUUCCGCCGGUCCCGACCCCUAAGAUCCGACCCCUUCCCGCUUCGCUCCUCUCCCGACCCCGGUGAGCUCAGCCCACCGUUGGAUUCUGCUGAUCUUUCUCACCCGUCCGAUCUAUCCACCGGUGGACCCGCGAGAUCUUUUCCAGAUCCCCCGCGCCAGCCGCACUCGAGUUGCAUGGCCGCCUCAGAGUCUUCCUGCCGCGUGGCUCGUCUUCUCCGACGCCUGCCGCUCAGUUUUGUCUCUGGCAAGCAACCGAGUGGGUUCCCGCGCCCCCUUUCCCCAAUGGUAGCGGAAGCCCUCUGCACCCCUUUCUGCAGAGCCUCGUCUCCCGCGCCCAUCAUCACGCCACCAGAUCCCGGCCCCAGAGCCCGAUGUCGCCCGUCUUUUCCGUCCCUUCAGCCACAGUUGCGCCGCCCGGUCGCCGCUACACGACGAUUCCUCCACCGCCAACCCCGACCGCGGCCGCGACAGUUCCUUUCCCCCGCACUGUCAGAAGCCACCCGAGAAUCUGUUGUUCCGCGCUCUCCCCCGCGCCCACGUCCGCCUGUCUUCUCACCUGUGCGCCCUCAAUUCUAGCGCCGUUAAACCGGUCGCUUCUAUCACCUCUUCCGCACGACGACGCCCGCUUUCCGCCAAAUCUCAACCACCAGUCUACCCGCCCCUACGCCGCCCUGACGGCAGAACGCAAUGAUCGCUGGCGUCACCCCCGGAGUUCUGCACCACCGCCCUCUUUGCUCAAUCGCCGCCCCGGCAGAGCACUCCAUUGCCUCUCCCCGGCCUUCGCGCCGCUCCCCUUCUCUCUCUCCGUGCCAUUUCCUUUCCUCUGCUCCAGCAGCUAUAAAAGGAAUGCCCCCGUCGCCGGAGUUUCCCUCCGCUCUCGUUGCCUUCAGCCUUCUCUAGCUCCCUGCUCAAGCUCCUAGCGCCACCCACCCAGUUCUUGAGGAGUUCUUCUCUCAGUUCUCCCUUAGUUUUCUCCCAGUCACCCAGCAGCUUGCUCCUCCGUGCUGCGUAAAAGCUCUCUGGUGAUCCGCCAGAAGCAGCGCCGCCACCGGAGCAUUGCUAGUUUUAGCCCUUGCUCGAAGCUUUAGUCCCUCCGCCCAAGUCUGCUUCUUCCCGACCCCACGCUUUCCUUUCAGGAAGAAGGUGAGUUGCCGACCCCAGUCCGCCUCGCCUGACCCCUCCUAUCCGCCCGACCCCGGUUCCGUCUCGCCCGACCCUGUCUGUUCCGCCGACCCUUAUCCGCCUCGCCCGAGGGCUUGGCUGUGAUCUUUUUCUUCAACUCGAGGGUGUAUGUGUAAAACUUGGGAACCCUUCAGCGCUUGCGUCUAAGGACUCCCCCAGUUAUCACAUCCUCUAGUUCAAGGAUCAGACCACUAGUUCCUUUCCUACCCUUACCUUUUG